rnacentral:rRNA from 1 species
UACGUAGGGAGCAAGCGUUGUUCGGAUUUACUGGGCGUAAAGGGCGCGUAGGCGGCGCGGUAAGUCACUUGUGAAAUCUCUGAGCUUAACUCAGAACGGCCAAGUGAUACUGCAGUGCUAGAGUGCAGAAGGGGCAAUCGGAAUUCUUGGUGUAGCGGUGAAAUGCGUAGAUAUCAAGAGGAACACCUGAGGUGAAGACGGGUUGCUAGGCUGACACUGACACUGAGGCACGAAAGCUAGGGGAGCAAACAGG